GACGAACGCUGGCGGCGUGCUUAACACAUGCAAGUCGAACGGAAAGGCCCUGCUUUUGUGGGGUGCUCGAGUGGCGAACGGGUGAGUAACACGUGAGUAACCUGCCCUUGACUUUGGGAUAACUUCAGGAAACUGGGGCUAAUACCGGAUAGGAGCUCCUGCUGCAUGGUGGGGGUUGGAAAGUUUCGGCGGUUGGGGAUGGACUCGCGGCUUAUCAGCUUGUUGGUGGGGUAGUGGCUUACCAAGGCUUUGACGGGUAGCCGGCCUGAGAGGGUGACCGGCCACAGUGGGACUGAGAUACGGACCAGACUGCUACGGGAGGCAGCAGUGGGGAAUAUUGCACAAUGGGCGGAAGCCUGAUGCAGCAACGCCGCGUGCGGGAUGACGGCCUUCGGGUUGUAAACCGCUUUCGCCUGUGACGAAGCGUGAGUGACGGUAAUGUGUAAAGAAGCACCGGCUAACUACGUG
rnacentral:rRNA from 1 species